GCAAACCGGGAGAACUGAAACAUCUAAGUACCCCGAGGAAAAGAAAUCAACCGAGAUUUCGUUAGUAGCGGCGAGCGAAAGCGAAAGAGCCUGUUAAUGAUAGCAGCAGAGAUAGAGGAAUAAGCUGGGAAGCUUAGCGACACAGGGUGAUAGCCCCGUACUCGACAUCCAGGCUGUGGUACUAAGUUAACGAGAAGUAGGGCGGGACACGUGAUAUCCUGUUUGAAGAUGGGGGGACCAUCCUCCAAGGCUAAAUACUCCUGAUUGACCGAUAGUGAACCAGUACUGUGAAGGAAAGGCGAAAAGAACCCCGGUGAGGGGAGUGAAAUAGAACCUGAAACCUUGUACGUACAAGCAGUGGGAGCCCUUUAAGGGUGACUGCGUACCUUUUGUAUAAUGGGUCAGCGACUUAUAUUUUGUAGCGAGGUUAACCGAAUAGGGGAGCCGAAGGGAAACCGAGUCUUAACUGGGCGUCUAGUUGCAAGGUAUAGACCCGAAACCCGGUGAUCUAGCCAUGGGCAGGUUGAAGGUUGGGUAACACUAACUGGAGGACCGAACCGACUAAUGUUGAAAAAUUAGCGGAUGACUUGUGGCUGGGGGUGAAAGGCCAAUCAAACCGGGAGAUAGCUGGUUCUCCCCGAAAUCUAUUUAGGUAGAGCCUUGAGCGGACACCUUCGGGGGUAGAGCACUGUUUCGGCUAGGGGUCCAUCCCGGAUUACCAACCCGAUGCAAACUACGAAUACCGAAGAGUGAUACUCAGGAGACACACGGCGGGUGCUAACGUCCGUCGUGGAGAGGGAAACAACCCAGACCGCCAGCUAAGGUCCCAAAGUCUAUAUUAAGUGGGAAACGAAGUGGGAAGGCUUAGACAGCUAGGAUGUUGGCUUAGAAGCAGCCAUCAUUUAAAGAAAGCGUAAUAGCUCACUAGUCGAGUCGGCCUGCGCGGAAGAUGUAACGGGGCUCAAAUAUAGCACCGAAGCUGCGGCAUCAGACGAAAGUCUGUUGGGUAGGGGAGCGUUCUGUAAGCGGAUGAAGGUGGUUCGAGAGGGCUGCUGGACGUAUCAGAAGUGCGAAUGCUGACAUAAGUAACGAUAAAACGGGUGAAAAACCCGUUCGCCGGAAGACCAAGGGUUCCUGUCCAACGUUAAUCGGGGCAGGGUGAGUCGGCCCCUAAGGCGAGGCUGAAAAGCGUAGUCGAUGGGAAACGGGUUAAUAUUCCCGUACUUGGAUAAACUGCGAUGUGGGGACGGAGUAGGUUAGGUUAUCGCACUGUUGGAUAUGUGCGUUUAAGUUGGUAGGUGGGAAGUUUAGGCAAAUCCGGACUUCCUUAACACUGAGAGAUGAUGACGAGGCUCUACGGAGCUGAAGUAACCGAUACCACACUUCCAGGAAAAGCCACUAAGCGAAAGGCUUUACUAAACCGUACUGAAAACCGACACAGGUGGUCAGGUAGAGAAUACUCAGGCGCUUGAGAGAACUCGGGUGAAGGAACUAGGCAAAAUAGCACCGUAACUUCGGGAGAAGGUGCGCCGGCGUAGAUUGUAGUCCCUUGCGGAUGAAGGUUGAACCGGUCGAAGAUACCAGCUGGCUGCAACUGUUUAUUAAAAACACAGCACUCUGCAAACACGAAAGUGGACGUAUAGGGUGUGAUGCCUGCCCGGUGCUGGAAGGUUAAUUGAUGGUGUAAUCGAAAGAGAAGCUCCUGAUCGAAGCCCCAGUAAACGGCGGCCGUAACUAUAACGGUCCUAAGGUAGCGAAAUUCCUUGUCGGGUAAGUUCCGACCUGCACGAAUGGCAUAAUGAUGGCCAGGCUGUCUCCACCCGAGACUCAGUGAAAUUGAAAUCGCCGUGAAGAUGCGGUGUACCCGCGGCUAGACGGAAAGACCCCGUGAACCUUUACUAUAGCUUGACACUGAACAUUGAAUUUUGAUGUGUAGGAUAGGUGGGAGACUUAGAAGUAGUCACGCCAGUGAUUAUGGAGUCGUCCUUGAAAUACCACCCUUUAACGUUUGAUGUUCUAACGAAGAUUGCGGAACGCGGUCUCGGACAGUGUCUGGUGGGUAGUUUGACUGGGGCGGUCUCCUCCCAAAGAGUAACGGAGGAGCACGAAGGUUUGCUAAUCACGGUCGGACAUCGUGAGGUUAGUGCAAUGGUAUAAGCAAGCUUAACUGCGAGACAGACAAGUCGAGCAGGUACGAAAGUAGGUCAUAGUGAUCCGGUGGUUCUGAAUGGAAGGGCCAUCGCUCAACGGAUAAAAGGUACUCCGGGGAUAACAGGCUGAUACCGCCCAAGAGUUCAUAUCGACGGCGGUGUUUGGCACCUCGAUGUCGGCUCAUCACAUCCUGGGGCUGAAGUAGGUCCCAAGGGU
rnacentral:rRNA from 1 species